GAAUUCGGCAAAAAUAAUGUUCGCCUGUUUAACAAAAACAUGUCUUUUUGAAUUUAAUUUAAAGUCUAACCUGCCCACUGAAUUUUUAAAUGGCCGCAGUAUUUUGACUGUGCAAAGGUAGCAUAAUCAUUAGUCCCUUAAUUGGAGGCUGGAAUGAAUGGUUGGACGAAAUAUUAACUGUUUCAUUUGAAUUUUUUAUAGAAUUUUAUUUUUUAGUCAAAAAGCUAAAAUUUUUUUAAAAGACGAGAAGACCCUAUAAACCUUUAUAUUUUUUUUUAUUUAAAUUAUUAAGAUUAAUUUUAUUUUAAUAAAUAAAAAUAUUUUAUUGGGGUGAUAUUAAAAUUUAAAAAACUUUUAAUUUUUAAAAAUAUUAAUUUAUGAAUAAUUGAUCCAUUAAUAAUGAUUAAAAAAUUAAGUUACUUUAGGGAUAACAGCGUAAUUUUUUUGGAGAGUUCAUAUCGAUAAAAAAGAUUGCGACCUCGAUGUUGGAUUAAGAUAUAAUUUUGGGUGUAGCCGUUCAAAUUUUAAGUCUGUUCGACUUUUAAAUUCUUACAUGAUCUGAAUUCAAACCGGUGUAAGCCAGGUUGGUUUCUAUCUUUAAAAAAUUAUAAUAUUUUAGUACGAAAGGACCAAAUAUUAGAAUAAUCAUAUUUUAAAAAAGAAUAUUAUUAAUAUAA
rnacentral:rRNA from 1 species